rnacentral:rRNA from 1 species
UACAGAGGGUGCAAGCGUUGUCCGGAUUUAUUGGGCGUAAAGAGCGUGUAGGCGGCCUGAAAGGUCAGCUGUGAAAACUCGAGGCUCAACCUCGAGACGUCGGUUGAAACCGUAUGGCUAGAGUCUGGAAGAGGAGAGUGGAAUUCCCGGUGUAGCGGUGAAAUGCGCAGAUAUCGGGAAGAACACCCGUGGCGAAGGCGGCUCUCUGGGACGGUACUGACGCUGAGACGCGAAAGCGUGGGGAGCGAACAGG